rnacentral:rRNA from 1 species
UACGUAGGGGGCAAGCGUUGUCCGGAAUUAUUGGGCGUAAAGGGCGUGUAGGCGGCUAGGAAAGUCAGAUGUGAAAGGCCAGGGCUCAACCUUGGUAGUGCAUUUGAAACUUCUUAGCUUGAGUGCAGGAGAGGAAAGUGGAAUUCCUAGUGUAGCGGUGAAAUGCGUAGAUAUUAGGAGGAACACCAGUGGCGAAGGCGACGUUCUGGACUGUAACUGACGCUGAGGCGCGAAAGCGUGGGGAGCAAACAGGAUUAGAUACCCUGGUAGUCCACGCCGUAAACGAUGGGUACUAGGUGUUGGGGGUAUCGACCCCUCCAGUGCCGUAGUUAACACAAUAAGUACCCCGCCUGGGGAGUACGGCCGCAAGGUUGAA